rnacentral:rRNA from 1 species
GAUGAACGCUGGCGGCGUGCCUAAUACAUGCAAGUCGAGCGAACGGACGAGAAGCUUGCUUCUCUGACGUUAGCGGCGGAGGGGUGAGUAACACGUGGAUAACCUACCUAUAAGACUGGGAUAACUUCGGGAAACCGGAUCUAAUACCGUAUAAUAUUUUGAACCGCAUGGGUCAAAAGUGAAAGACGGUCUUGCUGUCACUUAUAGAUGGAUCCGCGCUGCAUUAGCUAGUUGGUAAGGUAACGGCUUACCAAGGCAACGAGGCAUAGCCGACCUGAGAGGGUGAUCGGCCACACUGGAACUGAGACACGGUCCAGACUCCUACGGGAGGCAGCAGUAGGGAAUCUUACGCAAUGGGCGAAAGCCUGACGGAGCAACGCCGCGUGAGUGAUGAAGGUCUUCGGAUCGUAAAACUCUGUUAUUAGGGAAGAACAUAUGUGUAAGUAACUGUGCACAUAUUGACGGUACCUAAUAAGAAAGCCACGGCUAACUACGUG